UCCUGCAACAAUGGGAUUGGUGAAAGAAAAAGCAAUUGUCCUCUAGGGCUCAGACACUCAUGAAAUUAAUCUAUUAUCUUCCUGUGCAGCUGCCAUAUACGAUACAAGGUGCUUGACAAUUCCCUGUGCCAUUACAAGUCUGUGACAUUUGCUCAUUCACUAAGCUCGCUGACACCAACAGGAUCUGGCCUUGCUGCUAAAUUAAGGCAACGAGUGGGGAAAUGAGAGCAGUCGCAUCGGCCUGGAAGAGCUUGUGAGGCUGGAUGGAUUACCCCUUUUGUUUGAAGACCUAACCUAAGCACCUUGCCCGUGGGCUUUUUAUCAGCUACAGCUGAAAAACACCUUCAGGAGGGAGAUGGUGAUAUAACAACAACCAGUCGUAAUAGUGUGACAAGGCUGUGCUGUCCUUGCACAACUCUUGACUCUCCUCCUGCCUUCUCUACUAUCCUUACUCCUCUAUUCUGCACCACACUGGAUCUUCUAUCUUAAGCUCUGUCGAGGUGGGAACGGGCAUACUUUAAAUGCCUGUCACCCAGUGUCACAAUAGCAGCUCCACAUAGGGUGUCCAGUGUCAAAACACAGGUUGGGUUCUGUCAAGGGCAAAAUGAAUUUUUUGGAGAAAGAAAGGUUGAAAAGGAGAGAGAAAGAAAGCAGAGAAAGGAUAUAUUAUGGUGGAUGCUGAAUAACCGGAAGGUUUAAAGAUGUUUCACACAAUGCAAGGAGAAACGGGGUGAGGGGUGGAAGUAAUGGAAGAGUACUAAAGUGCUGGGCUGCUGGCACAAGCGUAUGGAUAGCAGCUGUCAAACAAGCAAGGUUUUGUGUAUUUAUUGUUAGUAUGCUUAAAGAGAUAGUGAAGGUCAGGCCAUGUGUCUGCUCUGUAGCUUUGUUAUGCGAGCUGGAUCAAUUUAUGAAAUAUGUCAACAAUGCAGCAGAUGCAAUCUUUCUCUUUGUCACAAGUUCUCUUUUACGCUGAUUUUUCUUUUUUAUUGUUUGUCUUCCUGUCUUUGUUGCUCCGAAGACCCAGGUCAUCACUGCUUAAACAACUGUGCUAAAGAAUAAGCGCUUGGCAGAUGGGAGAGACUGUGGCUUGGAUCACCGUAGUGAAACCAGACCUUACAUCCAUUUCCUUGGCCAGUGGAAUCAGUGUUACCAUCUAAAUACCCAGGAUCUGCUAGGGUCGCCACAGCGAAUGAGUCGCAUGGUAAACUUGGCAAUGUUUUACGCCGGAUGCCCUUCCUGACGCAACCCUCUCAAAGCAACUGGACUUUGGACCGGCACAGAAUUAGAGAAGGGAACAGGGAGCAGCACGGAGUCGAACCCCGGUUUCACGGACGGAAGGCGCCGCAAACCAGCACGAGCUAAACCGGCUCCCCCAAAUCCAACCGGCCUAUACCCAUAUAAAAUUGUUUCUAAAUGAGAUAAAUUAUUUAUAUCAAUCUUGGAAAAGACUACUGAUUGACGCGUUGCCGGUUUAUUUUACUAUAACGUGAAAAGAAGCAGUACCAUCACACCGGACAACACACAUGUGAGAACAGCAAAAAAUGAUCAAUCCAUCAUUACAGUCCAAUGUGUGGAAACACUUUGAAUUUAUCAAAGAAAAUUUAGCAUACAAUGUGCUAGAAUGUUCUAGUAAUGUUCUGUUUAGAUUAUUUUGAUGUGGAAAAACAACAAUGGACUAAACUGUAUGAAACUAAAAUGUGAUUGGAUUUUUCAUUAAUUCUUUUUAUUUUGUUUGUUUGUACAUAUAUUAAGUUUGCACGUGUUGUUUUAAUUUGUCAAUUAAAACCUGUGGAAGAAAGUGAUUUGAAAGAGAUGCAAGAAUGAAACAUAUUUGAAAUGGCCCUUUGUAUCCCAACAGAACUUAAUUCUGAGUUGACUUUGAGGCUUCAAUCGGAUGUCUACAUUUUCAUAUUUGUUAAAUAAAAAAAUGUCACAAAACUUGCCACUAUGCAAAUACUGCUUUAUGCUUGACCAAAUACCUCAUAUUUGUCUGUGUUUUAACUCUAUGACACAAAACCUACACCGGGGUGUGUCAGUAUGCAGGUGUUAUGCUUUCU